AGUGAACGCUGGCGGCAGGCCUAAUACAUGCAAGUCGAACGGCAGCACAGCAGAGCUUGCUCUGUGGGUGGCGAGUGGCGGACGGGUGAGGAAUACAUGGGAAUCUGCCCAGUCGUGGGGAUAACGUAGGGAAACUUACGCUAAUACCGCAUGCGCCCUUCGGGGAAAGCCGGGGACCUUCGGGCCUGGCGCGAUUGGAUGAGCCCAUGUCGGAUUAGCUAGUUGGCGGGGUAAUGGCCCACCAAGGCGACGAUCCGUAGCUGGUCUGAGAGGAUGAUCAGCCACACUGGAACUGAGACACGGUCCAGACUCCUACGGGAGGCAGCAGUAGGGAAUAUUGGACAAUGGGCGCAAGCCUGAUCCAGCCAUGCCGCGUGAGUGAAGAAGGCCCUCGGGUUGUAAAGCUCUUUUGUCCGGAAAGAAAGCGCCGGGUUAAUACCCUAGUGUCCUGACGGUACCGGAAGAAUAAGCACCGGCUAACUCGUGCCAGCAGCCGCGGUAA
rnacentral:rRNA from 1 species